rnacentral:lncRNA from 1 species
UAGGCUAUCUGCUUUGUGGUUGGUUUACCAGAUGGAUGCAAACCUCAAGUCUUGGUUGUUGUUCCUAUGGAAAAGGACGGCUUCAGCAAAAUGAUUAAAUUCAUACUAGUUCUUGAAGGAUCCAAUCACGGCUUUCUUCAGCGGGUCUAAUCACACUGACGCACAGAGAGAUGAGACAUUCCAAGGGGACAUUAGACAGACACCGCGGGCAGGAGAGAGCAGCGUGUACCAAGCUCAGAUCGGUGGAGUCUACUCUAAAGAUUCAACACCAGAGGGAUUUAACUUCAGAAGAAAUAAGCCUUGAAAUCAGAAAUUCCAAGGCAUCAAGAGGGCUGCAAUUAGGAAAAUGAAGGCCGCCAUUGUAACCACAGCACACCUUUCUGAACGCACCAGUCUGAACGAACUUGACAGACUUCU